rnacentral:pre_miRNA from 9 species
UUUCGAUAGCGUAAAAGUUAACUCACAUUAGUAUGGAGUUGGGACGUUUGCCUGCGUUUGCCGCUAGGGGCGCUGUUCCAACUCCAUACAAAUAUGAGUUAACUUUUACGCUAUCGA